rnacentral:lncRNA from 1 species
ACUCUCUCGAGAUUUUCCACUAACUUGUUAAGCUUACGGGUGCUCAACAAACCUUUACAACGCAAGGACACAAGCCUUAACACAUUUGCUCGGAGAUACAACACUCAAAGACUUCAACCAAGGAAACACAAGUUCCUUACAACAAGACAAUCACAAUUCUCUUACAAGUGUAUAAAACACUAAACACUCAAACAAAAUACUCCUUAAUGAGUAGAUAUGAGUAAAAGAAGUANNN